CCUACGGGUGGCAGCAGUGUGGAAUAUUGGACAAUGGGGGGAACCCUGAUCCAGCCAUGCCGCGUGUGUGAAGAAGGCCCUCGGGUUGUAAAGCACUUUCAGUGAGGAAGAACGCCUGGUGGUUAAUACCCAUCAGGAAAGACAUCACUCACAGAAGAAGCACCGGCUAACUCCGUGCCAGCAGCCGCGGUAAUACGGAGGGUGCGAGCGUUAAUCGGAAUUACUGGGCGUAAAGCGCGCGUAGGUGGCUUGAUAAGCCGGUUGUGAAAGCCCCGGGCUCAACCUGGGAACGGCAUCCGGAACUGUCAAGCUAGAGUGCAGGAGAGGAAGGUAGAAUUCCCGGUGUAGCGGUGAAAUGCGUAGAGAUCGGGAGGAAUACCAGUGGCGAAGGCGGCCUUCUGGACUGACACUGACACUGAGGUGCGAAAGCGUGGGUAGCAAACAGGAUUAGAUACCCGUGUAGUC
rnacentral:rRNA from 1 species